rnacentral:sRNA from 1 species
CUGUCAAAAUGAGAGACCCACCUCCUCCCGGGUUGAUCGUUUUGCACCAAGAUGGUCCUUCUUCCUCCUCCCUGAGGGGCCAUCAGAAAAAGGAACGGCGAUGCGCAACUCCUCCCGCGCAUCGCCGUUUUU